rnacentral:rRNA from 1 species
UGCCAGCAGCCGCGGUAAUACGGAGGGGGCAAGCGUUGUCCGGAAUCAUUGGGCGUAAAGCGCGUGUAGGCGGCUCGGCAAGUCUGGUGUGAAAUCUUGGGGCUCAACCCCGGAAGUGCACUUGAAACAGCAAGACUUGAAUACGGUAGAGGAGAGAGGAAUUCCUGGUGUAGAGGUGAAAUUCGUAGAUAUCAGGAGGAACACCGAUGGCGAAGGCAUCUCUCUGGGCCGAUAUUGACGCUGAGGCGCGAAGGCGUGGGUAGCGAACGGGAUUAGAUA